AGUGGCAAGGCCAAACAUGGUUUUUGGGUGAUGUUUGCUGAAAUCCCAGCUCCAUGUCCCAUUUGAAACAAGGGAUGCUAAGCCAUCCCAGCAGAGUACCUGGGGCCACUGCCACAAGAUAAAACAGAUGAAGGCAAAUGAAAGGUAUAAUCCUUCUGGUAGGGCUUGGUUAGCAGCAAGGAGGGUUUGGAUAGAGGGCUUAAAGGAUUUGCCAAGUAAAUGCUGCCCAGAUCCCACUCUAAUUGUUAAACUAAGCUUCCCCCCUGUCCCACUGUUUUUAGGCAGUUAGUUGGUGCAGCCUCCUUUAAGUGCCACAAAUGAAAACUUUUCUUUGUGGCAUGUCCCCUUUUCUAACAAACAACACCUUGCCCUAAGGCUGUAGGGUAAGGUGGUGUUCAGACCAAUAACUGACCUUCUUGAGAUGAACAGCAGACCAAAAUCUCUCUUCUGAUGGCACAGCACCAGGGAGCAGGCUGCUGAGCCCUGUUCCUAAUGGUUUCAGGGCUGCCAGCAUCCACACGGCAUGGGUUAUUCACUCUCAUCUUCCACAGCCAUUCCUCCACUCCCAUCCUUGCCGGCCCUCUGACCACUGGCUGCUAUGGAAUGCUCACUGCGUCUCCAGUUCUGCACAGGAUUGGUGAGCACAGGCCUUGACCUAAUAGUGACUUGCUAUGUGCCUUUGUGAAAGGCUGCCUGCAGGCAGAAAAACAGAGUGAAACUGCAUUUUGUUAUGGAGCUCGGGUUCUGGGUCUCUUAUUUAAGUGUUUGUACGGGCAGUCAGCUGCACUUCCAAGUUACUUCCAGCGAUUCACCUUCGGGGGACUUAGAAGUGUGGUGGGAACUGCAGAGAUAAAGAUUGGCAACAGAUUAAUGAUAAAAAUGAAAGAAAUUUUAGUGAAACAAUUUAGCUGCUAGCUCACAAUUUGGUUGCCAAGUUUUAGUCCAGUAGAGUUGAAAUGGCCAAGUUCUUAAUGCCAACAAUUGAGGUUUGUAAAGGAAAUACCAAAUCAACCUUGGCGGAAAAAGAGGCAGACAUUAAAUUGCAGAGCAAAGAGUGCAUUUGCUUUGUAGGUUUAGAAAUAAACAAGUUACUUAGACGAAAAUAAGUUUGAGGUUCUUCUGAUUGUUUGAUUCCCGUGUGUAAGCAACAAGGGGCUGGAGCAGAAAGGUGCAGCAUUUGUCAGCAGCCGCUGAACUGGAGCGAAUGCUCUACAGAAUUGUCGGCGAGGGGAGCAGGGAAGGGGACUGGUACAGGGAAGUGCUGCAGAAGUGCUCAGAAACUUGCUCUGCCUCAUCGUGUAAAGGUUUAAGAAGAGCUCAGACUGCACAGUCUUGCCUCUUCUUAUUUCAGCAAGUGCCAAAAAGACACAUUCUUUAAUGCACACAAUAGCUUUUCUUGGAUACAUUGUCGACGCUAUACACUUGUCAUUGGACAGGUUUGUGUAAUUUUCCCUCUAUAAUGUGUAACAGUGUGCCCGCACAUUCCUGCAGCAGGAGAGCAGCUGAAUUCACUGUGAGGGCUAUCUUCCAUCCAAGAGGCAUUCCACUGGAGCUGGAGAAACUAUUCACAGUGUGGGGACUGCCAAGGCACGCUGGAACGAGGAUAUCAAAAUCUUCUCCUGAACUAUUAUUUCAGUUGUUUCAGUUUUAUAAAGGACAAAAGAAAACCUUACACAUUGCACGGGCAGGCUUAUUAGCUACUCUGCAAGGUAGAACGUAUUUCAUCCAGGAGUGACAGCUGAGCCCAAAACACCACUUUUCAGAAUCAGCAGGUUUCUUUUGUAGUGCAGCUUGCCAAAUACCAGCUUCCGCACCCAGUCAUGGACAUCAGAGACGUCACAGCAGGGAAAUGACAAAGCAUAAGUGCUGUUUCUUGUACAAGACCAACCUGGACAUUACUUGGUUGAGGAAGCCCUGCACCAGUUAGCUCCAUAACAGCUAUGCUGUACUGUACUUAGCAACAGAGAAUGGCAGCCAAUAGCCACGAUUUCCAGAUUGCUUUGUGCAUGUUACCUAUGAGUGCCUAUCAUCCUGUGUUCAACUUGCUAGCUCAGUGCAAUGCUUUCCUGUUCAAUUAAGCAGAUGUCAAGCUGCAGGAGAGUAUUUCUGGAGUUUCUGCUGUAAAUCAUUCAAAUGUGGAAAAGAAGCAGCACCAGCUAGUAUUUGGGUACUCCAUCACAUGCAGCAGUCACCUGCACAUCCCUUUUGUAGUGGUUGUAAUAAGCUGCUGCUGCAGUUUCACUUAUUCUGUGUUAUGCAUUUCUGUUCUUCCUGAAUUGUCC
ensembl:lncRNA